GGAUUAGCUCAGCGGUAGAGCGCUGGGCCCAUAACCCAGAGGUCGCCUGAUCGAA
rnacentral:tRNA from 1 species